CAGCCGCCGCGGUAAUACGUAGGUGGCAAGCGUUGUCCGGAAUUAUUGGGCGUAAAGGGCUCGCAGGCGGUUUCUUAAGUCUGAUGUGAAAGCCCCCGGCUCAACCGGGGAGGGUCAUUGGAAACUGGGAAACUUGAGUGCAGAAGAGGAGAGUGGAAUUCCACGUGUAGCGGUGAAAUGCGUAGAUAUAUGGAGGAACACCAGUGGCGAAGGCGACUCUCUGGUCUGUAACUGACGCUAAGGCGCGAAAGCGUGGGGAGCAAACAGGAUUAGAUACCCCAGUAGUCCCUGUCUCUUAUAC
rnacentral:rRNA from 1 species